UUAGCAUGGAAUAAUGGAAUAGGAAAGGCGUUUCUAUUUUGUUGGUUUCUAGAGACGCCGCAAUGAUUAACAGGAACAGUCGGGGGCAUCAGUAUUCAGUUGUCAGAGGUGAAAUUCUUGGAUUUACUGAAGACUAACUACUGCGAAAGCAUUUGCCAAGGAUGUUUUCAUUAAUCAGUGAACGAAAGUUAGGGAAUCGAAGACGAUCAGAUACCGUCGUAGUCUUAACCGUAAACUAUGCCGACUAGGGAUCGGGCGAUGUUCUUUUUCUGACUCGCUCGGCACCUUACGAGAAAUCAAAGUUUUUGGGUUCUGGGGGGAUUAUGGUCGCAAGGCUGAAACUUAAAGAAAUUGACGGAAGGUCACCACCAGGCGUGGAGCCUGCGGCUUAAUUUGACUCAACACGGGGAAACUCACCAGGUCCAGAUGAAAUAAGGAUUGACAGAUUGAGAGCUCUUUCUUGAUCUUUCAGGUGGUGGUGCAUGGCCGUUCUUAGUUCGUGGGGUGACUUGUCUGCUUAAUUGCGAUAACGAGCGAGACCUUACUCUGCUAAAUAGCCAGGCUAACUUUGGUUGGUCGCCGGCUUCUUAGAGAGACUAUCAACUCAAGUUGAUGGAAGUUUGAGGCAAUAACAGGUCUGUGAUGCCCUUAGAUGUUCUGGGCCCGCACGCGCGCUACACUGACAGAGCCAACGAGUUCUUUUCCCUGUUCGAAAGAAUUGGGUAAUCUUGUUAAACUCUGUCGUGCUGGGGCAUAGGGGCAUUGCAAUAAUCACUAGUGAAUUCCCGGCCGCCUGCCAGGUCGACCAUAUGGGAGAGCUCCCAACCCGUUGGAUGCAUAGCCUGAGUAUUCUAUAGUGUCACCUAAUAGCUUGGCGAAUCAUGGUCCAUAGCUGUUUCCUGUGUGAAAUUGGUAUCCGCUUACAAUUCCACAACACCAUACAAGCCGGAAAGCAUAAAGUGUAAACCCUGGCGGUGCCCUAAAUGG
rnacentral:rRNA from 1 species